CAUAGGUUAAUGAGGCGAACCGGGGGAACUGAAACAUCUAAGUACCCCGAGGAAAAGAAAUCAACCGAGAUUCCCCCAGUAGCGGCGAGCGAACGGGGAGCAGCCCAGAGCCUGAAUCAGUGUGUGUGUUAGUGGAAGCGUCUGGAAAGGCGCGCGAUACAGGGUGACAGCCCCGUACACAAAAAUGCACAUACUGUGAGCUCGAUGAGUAGGGCGGGACACGUGGUAUCCUGUCUGAAUAUGGGGGGACCAUCCUCCAAGGCUAAAUACUCCUGACUGACCGAUAGUGAACCAGUACCGUGAGGGAAAGGCGAAAAGAACCCCGGCGAGGGGAGUGAAAAAGAACCUGAAACCGUGUACGUACAAGCAGUGGGAGCCUCUUUAUGGGGUGACUGCGUACCUUUUGUAUAAUGGGUCAGCGACUUAUAUUCUGUAGCAAGGUUAACCGAAUAGGGGAGCCGAAGGGAAACCGAGUCUUAACUGGGCGUUAAGUUGCAGGGUAUAGACCCGAAACCCGGUGAUCUAGCCAUGGGCAGGUUGAAGGUUGGGUAACACUAACUGGAGGACCGAACCGACUAAUGUUGAAAAAUUAGCGGAUGACUUGUGGCUGGGGGUGAAAGGCCAAUCAAACCGGGAGAUAGCUGGUUCUCCCCGAAAGCUAUUUAGGUAGCGCCUCGUGAAUUCAUCUCCGGGGGUAGAGCACUGUUUCGGCAAGGGGGUCAUCCCGACUUACCAACCCGAUGCAAACUGCGAAUACCGGAGAAUGUUAUCACGGGAGACACACGGCGGGUGCUAACGUCCGUCGUGAAGAGGGAAACAACCCAGACCGCCAGCUAAGGUCCCAAAGUCAUGGUUAAGUGGGAAACG
rnacentral:rRNA from 1 species